rnacentral:lncRNA from 1 species
AUGAUAUGAUAUUACUACUUUUAAUAACAAAACUGAUAUGCAAAUAAAACAUAUAAUUUCAAUGGUUACACUGACCCAAAACAGAUGUGUAGUGGAUUGUGAUAACUACUUUUUAGUGUACUGCAACACUAGAUAAUUGUUUAGCAAGUGUGUGAUGUUUCAUCCUGUAUUCAGAUGAAACUAAUGUACAAGAACAGUGAAGCAACAUGUAAUAAAUAUCUCAGGGCCUGUGCUUAAAAAGUGAGUGAGAGGGAAAAUUCUUCCUUGUCAGAAGAAUUACUGAAACUAUUGCUCUGUGCUUCAUACAGUGUCUUUCACCACAUAAUUCAAAAUCAAGUUCAAAAAUGACAGAAAUUGGUGGCCUGUGGUGACAGGCUGUGCAAUUUUGGAUAACUACAGAGAAACCCAAGGAUUUAUCAUCUAUAGCCAAAGUUAACAUCACCUCCUAAAAAGACUACCUAACUUCUUAUUAAAAGGCUAUGUAUUUAGGUGCCUGCGACUCUGCCCAAAUGUAGCUAUCCAGGCAGAAAGUCUAUAUAUUACUUUUCUAUUUAAGGCUUCUUUUCCUGGUAGUUUCUGUUAUGCCAUUUAAUUUCUUGUCUCUAUUUCUGUUUAUUUGUUUCUCUGCCUCUUUGUGUCACGAAUUUACCACCUCCUCAGUGGCUCGGCAGUUUCUGAGGACAAGGCAGUGAAAUUGCCUCAGUGGCUGCAGAUUCACUGUUGCCAAUGGUGGGACAGCGCUGGUGGGAGAGCUGAGGUGGCUCAGUGCAGAGCACAGGCCCAGCAGGACUCAUCCACUGAAGUGCUCAUAGAAUCACAGAAUAUCCUGAGCUGGAAGGGAUCCACAAGGAUCAUCAAAUCCCACUCCUGACUUUGCUCAGGACAGCCCCAGUAUUCACACCAGGUGCCUGAGGGCGUUGUCCAGAUGCUCCUUGAACUUUGGUAGGCUCCUGCUGUGACUUUCCUAGGAGCUCUGUUCUAGUGCCCACCCACCCUCUGGGUGAAGAAUCUGUUCCCAAUAUCCAACCUAAUCCUCACUGUUUCCUUUGAGUUUUUGAAUCACAGAGUGUGGGUUUGUACAGAGCAA